rnacentral:rRNA from 1 species
UUCGACCUGAGCUCAGGCAAGACUACCCGCUGAACUUAAGCAUAUC